CGAAAAUAAAACGACCAUUUUUAAACCCUUUUGAUCGCCCAUCCUUGUCUAAAAUCAGAAUAGGUUAAGACUCAUCAUUGAAUAGAAAUUGUGUUCAUCUAUCACAUUUCUGUUGAGAUGAUGCAGUCAUGAAAGCAAAUAUUUAGUUCAUUUCGACUCUAAUUCAGCUUCUACAUUGUGCAAUUUGCCCAAUUUCAAAUGAAAUUCCUUAUUUCUUUUUACUAGCUUGAUUGUUGCAGAGGAGCUGAUUGCCUUGUUUCAACUUGGACGACACUGGUGAUUCACUUGCGAGCUGGGCUUCCGUUUUUAUUGCGGGAGCCAAGACGAGCUCAAAAUGCACUGCGGGACCGACCGCCCCCUUAUUAUUCAAAAUUCCAUCAACUGAAAGGAGAUGGCUCCCAGUUCAGUUGACUCACUUUAGUCAUCGGUUACCGUCAACCCGCCGAAUUCCCCGUGUUGCUGAGUUGCGCCUUUUUGCUUAAAUUCUGUCGACAUUCUUCGUGAAAAGCGGAAUGCAAAACAACUUGUCGGACAACAAGUUCUUUACUCUUAAUAUGGAGCUUUGAUUUCCGAUUUACAGGGUCAAUGUUUUGGGCGUUGCGCAACGGCAACAGUUUAACUGUAGAACUUUGGUUGCAUUUUUCUCGUUUUUAAUAUCUACUCGUUUUGCUUAAUUUAUUUUUGGUUUUUGUUUUCACUGUUGGAUCGUUCAGUACAACAUUUAAGCUAAAGAGUAAAACGAUUUGAUGAUUUCGGAUUAGUAAAUUAGACCUGGCAAGCGACUUUGAUUCCUUUUAAAAAAUGGUGGGGUGUUUUGGACGUUUGUUCCGAUUGAAUUUUGGAAUUUUUAACGUGAAUAGCGUCACCGCUAGAUGGUGGAUAGCUCGACUGGAAUUUAUGGGGAAGAAGGGCGAAUGUCUUAUGAAAGGUUCGUGUUCGUUUGCUUUCUGCUUGAUGGAAAUCUUGUAGUACUUGAAACAUGAGUGAGGCAAAGGCGAGCAAGUUAUUUUAUACUUUUCUGAGAAAAUCGUGAAUAGCUAAAUGUGCAUUGUGACAGAUUCUGUAGAAGAUAGUGUGGCUGUCUCUGGCUGUCAAGAUGGACCUUCAUGUACAGUAAAUUGGUGUAAAGAACAGGAGGAGAAACAAUGGAGAUCACACUUGAAUGAAAAGGAAUUACUUCAGGCUUCCAAAUGUGUUGAACAUGAUUUAUAGUUUGUGACCUUGAACACAUUCACUUUUGAAAAUUGGUGGAAUUCAACGUCAACAAUAAAGUAUUGGAAGUUGUUGCCAAGGAGAAAAUUGAACUCAAGUUCCUGUCGAUAAGUUCAACUCCCCUGGUAGUCAAAUCAAUGCUGCCAAGCAGAAGGGAUCACGAGGAGCUCCAUACAAUUUUGGAACCUGAUAUGGGCAGUUCCCUUUGCAGAGACAAUAGCAGAAACAGAAUUAUCUGAAAUGGAUGUCUUAUCAAACUGGUAUAAGAGAAUGCAGUCUCUCACUAGUUAACUGUAUAGCUCAACGCCCAGGCGAAUCGAUACUAGCCUAAACAUUGCAAUUCCGCCACGUUAUCGCCCUUUUUCGCCUACUAGAAGAUGAAGACAAUUCCGAUACAGACACUGCCUUAUCUCUCAGACCGAGUCCGCCGCUUAGGCAGCGAAUCGUUGGAGCGACAGUCAAGUCCCAAUCGUUGAUCCCGGGGCGUGGAACAGCGAUUGAGGCUUUUGUGGAGAGGUUAUGUGUUUCAGGUGGUUAAUGUGAAGCUCAAUUAAAUGGAUGACGCUGGCUCAAGCAGCAACACUCCCAGCUCUCAACAGCCAGGAGCGCCGGAUAGCGGAGGCUGGUUAUCGUCUCUGGCUCUCGACCGUUGUGGAAAGUGUCACCAGUUUCUCUUUUCCACCACGGAAUCGAUUCUUCUGAUUGGGUCGAUCUACUACGCAAAAACGAGAGUCAACGACCGACAACAUCAGUAGCCGGCAGUAACGUUAGAAAACUUCCAGGAACUCCACCCAGACCUGCUGAACCUUUGGCUGUUUCCGAUUGGUAGACAAAUGCAAUCUCCAGCCACUUUGGAGAUUUUUCUCGCGUGUCGGACAUGUCAUGGGAGAAGGAACUGCUUUCUCCGAGGCACCUGGUGGAGAAAUUUCGUACUACCUCAUGCAAACUCAUUUCCUCUGUCGUCUGCUAUCUUCAAGCGUGGCCGUGGCUUUCAAGUUUCAACAUGGUGGCUUCCUCAUACUGAUGUUUUUGAUUUGGAGUGGUGGUGUUGUGGAGAUCUUGUUGCCUGAUCUUGUCUUGGAUCAUUUUGGUCACAUUUUCUCAGGAGAAACUAGAUCGGGAAAAUGGAGGACCUAAAGAAAGCAUCCAGGUGAGCCAAAUUGGCAUGACUCCUGAUUGAAGGUCUGCAGACGAGCUGCAACUUUGUCCCGUUGGAUGUUGGCUGGUUGCCACGAUUGAAACCGAAGUCUAGUGGCAGUUUUUGGACGCCGCCCAUGGAAAGAAGAAUUCUUCCUUUACCAAUUUCACGGCGCUGUACUUGGGUUAAGUAAGAGUCACCCUUCAAAAAAUGUAACGACUGGACUGAAUGAAACCUUUUUGUAGAUUUUAGCAUUGUCUACAUUCAAGCAGUGUCCUUAACAUCGACUGCGUUGACUGAAUGGGUGUGGUUGACCGCCAUGUUUUGCAGUAGAAUGGCACCGUCCGUUUGUACCUUAUGUCAGUGAGGUUCCACGACGAGAAAGAUACGCGAUUAAAUGAGUUUUGCUAUGCAGGAGGCGGGGACGUAUUUCAUCCGGAAAAGGGCACCGAGAGUUUGAACCUGUUCCAGUCAAGUGCCACGACGAGAAGCCAUGCAACUCCGAUGAAAGGUGCAGUCCAUUGGCAAUAAGCCAAUAAUCAACGUGGUUCCUGGGUGCCUCCCAUCAAGGUCGAUUGGUGCUCGUACAUUCAGGAUCCGGAUUAUCCUCAUUCGCUCUCAAUUUGAUGUUCGACUCGCUCUAGUGAAACCUCACGUUGGUUUCUCCAAUUUGCAUCUUCAACACGGGUGACGCAAUCAUUUUAUUUGCAGUUGUGACAGGAAAAACUUGGUUUGAGACUGCUCCAUGAUCAAACGUAAAUGGAGUUGCUUGACAAUUGACUAUCCCUGCGUUUUGUCUAGGCAGUUGCAGACUCAAUGGCAAUCGCAAAGCAAGGCGAUAUAAUCUGGCAUUCGGUGGCUACAUCCUAGUAGAUUCUAAUUUAAGGAUAAUCUAGAUCCGGUCUAUGUCGGCUCUCCAACGUGAAAUUUGCAGUCAGAAGUGGUGGUGGACGUGUCUUGCCAACAAAAUGGAACGUGUAUGUCCGUCGCAAUUCUACAGCUUUUACCGUCAGUAUCACAAUCAUAAAAUCAAGAAAACGUCCAUCCGAAAUGUUUGACUCGGCCUUGACAGCUGAGAGACACUCGACAGUCGCCUAUAUAAAGUAGCCAGUUGUGGAACAGCAUUGGUGUCCAGUGUUGAAGAACUAACAUUUUGACCGUUGAAGGAGAAGCAGCAUCCGUCGGAUGGAAGACGAAAUUGAGAUCGAUGGGCUCGAUUUAAAAUAAGCCCCUUACAUGUCGCUGAGGAAUAAGAGAUUGAUCAGUACCCUUGAAGGCCUUGAACGGAACGACGCAACCGAAAACGGAAUCAGCUGGUCGAUCUGACUUCGUCCGUCCUCCUUUAAGUGACGAGAUUUCAGCACUUUACCCUCUUCACAGUUCCACACAACAAUUCACUGAUGCUGGGCCGGAUGCGUAAAUGGCCGUGUCGACGGGCAGAAUAACCGCCUCCCUGUAAUCAUCAAUUUGUUGCGGCUAACCGGAGAAUGGGAAGAAGAGGAAGAAUCAUCGAAAUUCCAAUGCAAAGAUGGCAUAGCAGCACCCAUUCCUGCUUGAUUGUUGCAGAGGAGCUGAUUGCCUUGUUUCAACUUGGACGACACUGGUGAUUCACUUGCGAGCUGGGCUUCCGUUUUUAUUGCGGGAGCCAAGACGAGCUCAAAAUGCACUGCGGGACCGACCGCCCCCUUAUUAUUCAAAAUUCCAUCAACUGAAAGGAGAUGGCUCCCAGUUCAGUUGACUCACUUUAGUCAUCGGUUACCGUCAACCCGCCGAAUUCCCCGUGUUGCUGAGUUGCGCCUUUUUGCUUAAAUUCUGUCGACAUUCUUCGUGAAAAGCGGAAUGCAAAACAACUUGUCGGACAACAAGUUCUUUACUCUUAAUAUGGAGCUUUGAUUUCCGAUUUACAGGGUCAAUGUUUUGGGCGUUGCGCAACGGCAACAGUUUAACUGUAGAACUUUGGUUGCAUUUUUCUCGUUUUUAAUAUCUACUCGUUUUGCUUAAUUUAUUUUUGGUUUUUGUUUUCACUGUUGGAUCGUUCAGUACAACAUUUAAGCUAAAGAGUAAAACGAUUUGAUGAUUUCGGAUUAGUAAAUUAGACCUGGCAAGCGACUUUGAUUCCUUUUAAAAAAUGGUGGGGUGUUUUGGACGUUUGUUCCGAUUGAAUUUUGGAAUUUUUAACGUGAAUAGCGUCACCGCUAGAUGGUGGAUAGCUCGACUGGAAUUUAUGGGGAAGAAGGGCGAAUGUCUUAUGAAAGGUUCGUGUUCGUUUGCUUUCUGCUUGAUGGAAAUCUUGUAGUACUUGAAACAUGAGUGAGGCAAAGGCGAGCAAGUUAUUUUAUACUUUUCUGAGAAAAUCGUGAAUAGCUAAAUGUGCAUUGUGACAGAUUCUGUAGAAGAUAGUGUGGCUGUCUCUGGCUGUCAAGAUGGACCUUCAUGUACAGUAAAUUGGUGUAAAGAACAGGAGGAGAAACAAUGGAGAUCACACUUGAAUGAAAAGGAAUUACUUCAGGCUUCCAAAUGUGUUGAACAUGAUUUAUAGUUUGUGACCUUGAACACAUUCACUUUUGAAAAUUGGUGGAAUUCAACGUCAACAAUAAAGUAUUGGAAGUUGUUGCCAAGGAGAAAAUUGAACUCAAGUUCCUGUCGAUAAGUUCAACUCCCCUGGUAGUCAAAUCAAUGCUGCCAAGCAGAAGGGAUCACGAGGAGCUCCAUACAAUUUUGGAACCUGAUAUGGGCAGUUCCCUUUGCAGAGACAAUAGCAGAAACAGAAUUAUCUGAAAUGGAUGUCUUAUCAAACUGGUAUAAGAGAAUGCAGUCUCUCACUAGUUAACUGUAUAGCUCAACGCCCAGGCGAAUCGAUACUAGCCUAAACAUUGCAAUUCCGCCACGUUAUCGCCCUUUUUCGCCUACUAGAAGAUGAAGACAAUUCCGAUACAGACACUGCCUUAUCUCUCAGACCGAGUCCGCCGCUUAGGCAGCGAAUCGUUGGAGCGACAGUCAAGUCCCAAUCGUUGAUCCCGGGGCGUGGAACAGCGAUUGAGGCUUUUGUGGAGAGGUUAUGUGUUUCAGGUGGUUAAUGUGAAGCUCAAUUAAAUGGAUGACGCUGGCUCAAGCAGCAACACUCCCAGCUCUCAACAGCCAGGAGCGCCGGAUAGCGGAGGCUGGUUAUCGUCUCUGGCUCUCGACCGUUGUGGAAAGUGUCACCAGUUUCUCUUUUCCACCACGGAAUCGAUUCUUCUGAUUGGGUCGAUCUACUACGCAAAAACGAGAGUCAACGACCGACAACAUCAGUAGCCGGCAGUAACGUUAGAAAACUUCCAGGAACUCCACCCAGACCUGCUGAACCUUUGGCUGUUUCCGAUUGGUAGACAAAUGCAAUCUCCAGCCACUUUGGAGAUUUUUCUCGCGUGUCGGACAUGUCAUGGGAGAAGGAACUGCUUUCUCCGAGGCACCUGGUGGAGAAAUUUCGUACUACCUCAUGCAAACUCAUUUCCUCUGUCGUCUGCUAUCUUCAAGCGUGGCCGUGGCUUUCAAGUUUCAACAUGGUGGCUUCCUCAUACUGAUGUUUUUGAUUUGGAGUGGUGGUGUUGUGGAGAUCUUGUUGCCUGAUCUUGUCUUGGAUCAUUUUGGUCACAUUUUCUCAGGAGAAACUAGAUCGGGAAAAUGGAGGACCUAAAGAAAGCAUCCAGGUGAGCCAAAUUGGCAUGACUCCUGAUUGAAGGUCUGCAGACGAGCUGCAACUUUGUCCCGUUGGAUGUUGGCUGGUUGCCACGAUUGAAACCGAAGUCUAGUGGCAGUUUUUGGACGCCGCCCAUGGAAAGAAGAAUUCUUCCUUUACCAAUUUCACGGCGCUGUACUUGGGUUAAAUUUUAGCAUUGUCUACAUUCAAGCAGUGUCCUUAACAUCGACUGCGUUGACUGAAUGGGUGUGGUUGACCGCCAUGUUUUGCAGUAGAAUGGCACCGUCCGUUUGUACCUUAUGUCAGUGAGGUUCCACGACGAGAAAGAUACGCGAUUAAAUGAGUUUUGCUAUGCAGGAGGCGGGGACGUAUUUCAUCCGGAAAAGGGCACCGAGAGUUUGAACCUGUUCCAGUCAAGUGCCACGACGAGAAGCCAUGCAACUCCGAUGAAAGGUGCAGUCCAUUGGCAAUAAGCCAAUAAUCAACGUGGUUCCUGGGUGCCUCCCAUCAAGGUCGAUUGGUGCUCGUACAUUCAGGAUCCGGAUUAUCCUCAUUCGCUCUCAAUUUGAUGUUCGACUCGCUCUAGAAAAACCUCACGUUGGUUUCUCCAAUUUGCAUCUUCAACACGGGUGACGCAAUCAUUUCAUUUGCAGGUGUUGAUUAUGAUGCUGGCUGUCUAAUUACAAAAGGAAAGCUUUGCAUACUUGCAGUCUCACAGUUUGGUUACUCCCUUCCGUGGUUCAAUUGCAAUCGAAUCAUCUUUCGAUUCAAUCGAGGCCUGGCUCGUCCGCAUAUUUUAUCCAUUCUUUUUUAAACCUCUUCCUUCACCCUUCAGUUUACUCGUUGCAUUUGGGCGACCUGGACGCAACCAUUCAACUCUCUUGAACAAGUGAACGUAGCCAGCCGAAAUUCAGACGAUCCCGGAAGAGAUCAUGACAAUCUAGUGCCAAUUGUGGCGAUGUCAGUGCUCUUUUAUCAAGUUCAAAUCGGUUCAAAUGUGUUGUAGAAAAUGCGACUUGUCGUCAUCGUGUAAUAGAAUGUGGUACUCGUUGAGUCCGUCUGAAUGGUUGGUGGUUGCAUUUCGCUGUGGAGCAAGAUUUAAUUUCGGUCAUUUUUCUUGGGUUCGGUGGUGUUUUACCUGGGUGCGUGAAUGGCGAUGUCGACGGCCAAUGGACAGAACAGCCGUAUUCCCUAAUCAUUUGGAGUGACCGACAAACCGUCGAAUUCGAAUGCAGAGACACCAGCAGUGCAUUAUCAUACUAUACUGUACAGAUCAAAAAUGAAACGGAAGCCAAUAAGAGUGCCGCUUGUUCGUAAGGAGGGAAUCGCAACAGAUGGACGAGUGACUGGCAACAUUUUCUUCUUCUCCUCAGUCUCUCGAGGGGGCUCAUUGAAUGGGUCAUUUAGACGAAACGAAGAGAGGGUGAGGUAAAAUUCAAAGUGGAAGGCUUUUCUUUAAUUUUAAUGGGAUAAUACGGUGCUUAUGAGCUGUUGGUGCUCAUUAACCACUCGAUGCGUGAGGGUUUAUGGAAAUACAUUGCUUGCUCUAUUUCUCAUCCUCGCGGUUUUUUCUCAAUUCAGUUUAUUCAUUUAAAUUUAGUUUUCAGUUCAAUUAAAAAGUUUCCUCAAUUCAUCAAGCUUGACGCCACCUAGCGUUCAAGGUUUAAAUUUUUUUUUCUAUUUUCACAUCGUUAUGGUUUUUCUUUUUUUGCGAAAAACAAUAUUGUGGUGUAGAAAGUAUCGAAUGUUUUUUUUUUUAUAUUGAAGAAAUAUUGAUUAUAACGUGACUGAAAGGGUUAAAAACUUAAAAUCAACGAAUCCAUUUAUUUUUUCGUCAUGUGAUGGGGCGCCAUUUGCGUCGUCCAAUAGGAAAUCUUGGAUUAUCAGCUGUGUGUGAACUUAACUGUGAAUUUGAGAGAAGAAAUGGUUUGAGCACAGCAGUUAGUAGUUGUGAAUCUCAGAUAGAAAAUUGAAAUAAUUUUGAUUGCUACUCCAAUUAACAAUUCACGUCUACGUAAGAAAAACCAAAUGUGGACAUUGCAACUGAAUCUGAAAACUUGUGUUCUUCUGUCAUGCCUCUGUUAGCCACCUAUGUUGUUUUGAUUUACUGCAUAAAGAGUUCACUUUGCUCAAGACAGAAGAUGACUUUCCAGUUAUGCUCGAACUUUGAAUCCUCUUACUCCAUUUGCAGUUUAAGCUUCAUAUUUGGCAUUCACAAAUGGCAUUUUCUAUCUAUUGAAAUGCAGACUGCUGAUUUGGCUCUCUUGAGUCAAAGGCCUCGACAGCUGUGAAGAAAAAAAAGUGCACAAAUUUUAAGUAAUGAACAAGCAGGAACCCAGAAUUUUGCUCAUGAAGGAAAACCAGUCUUCUUUGCAAAGGCAAGAAUAACCAGGUAGUGAAACUGAAGGCUUUAAGGCUCAAGUUGCUGAGGGAUCAUUCGAGAAGCGUAAAGCUGUGGGUCCCCACAACUACUUUCCAUAGUAAAAUUGCCAACAUGAUGAACUUUGUAUUGUAAAUUGUAAUUCCAACAACCUUGGAAUAGCUAAGACAUUUUACUUGCAGUCCAUGGACUUGGACACAAGUUCGACUGAUUUCUUGCAGGAAAAACCAGCAAGCAAGGCAACAGCAAAAUCUGAUAAAAUGGAGGUCGUAGAAAAGGGGUUGCAAUCAGUAAAUGUUCAAGAGACACUGCCAACACUAGACUCAACUCCUGCUUGAAUUCAAUUCUGACAUUACGAGUAAAGCAGAAAGUUGACAUGGCCAAUCCAGGACACAAUGAUCAAAUGCAAGAUGCACCAACAGAGAGGAAUAAUCAGUUUUUCAAUCGUUCCAUGCAUCCAGGAAAUCAGCGAAUAACAACAUCUCCCAUUUUCCAAAUGUUAUCCGUCCAUCUGAUGUUCAUCAGUCGUCAAAUUCCCCUAAAAUCAAUCCUGGACGCGCUAUUGUACCUCAAUGCAACAACCAAGUUAUUAAACUUGAUUGUUGCAGAGGAGCUGAUUGCCUUGUUUCAACUUGGACGACACUGGUGAUUCACUUGCGAGCUGGGCUUCCGUUUUUAUUGCGGGAGCCAAGACGAGCUCAAAAUGCACUGCGGGACCGACCGCCCCCUUAUUAUUCAAAAUUCCAUCAACUGAAAGGAGAUGGCUCCCAGUUCAGUUGACUCACUUUAGUCAUCGGUUACCGUCAACCCGCCGAAUUCCCCGUGUUGCUGAGUUGCGCCUUUUUGCUUAAAUUCUGUCGACAUUCUUCGUGAAAAGCGGAAUGCAAAACAACUUGUCGGACAACAAGUUCUUUACUCUUAAUAUGGAGCUUUGAUUUCCGAUUUACAGGGUCAAUGUUUUGGGCGUUGCGCAACGGCAACAGUUUAACUGUAGAACUUUGGUUGCAUUUUUCUCGUUUUUAAUAUCUACUCGUUUUGCUUAAUUUAUUUUUGGUUUUUGUUUUCACUGUUGGAUCGUUCAGUACAACAUUUAAGCUAAAGAGUAAAACGAUUUGAUGAUUUCGGAUGAGUAAAUUAGACCUGGCAAGCGACUUUGAUUCCUUUAAAAAAAUGGUGGGGGUGUUUUGGACGUUUGUUCCGAUUGAAUUUUGGAAUUUUGGAAUUUUUAACGUGAAUAGCGUCACCGCUAGAUGGUGGAUAGCUCGACUGGAAUUUGGGGGAAAGAAGGGCGAAUGUCUUAUGAAAGGUUCGUGUUCGUUUGCUUUCUGCUUGAUGGAAAUCUUGUAGUACUUGAUACAUGAGUGAGGCAAAGGCGAGCAAGUUAUUUUAUACUUUUCUGAGAAAAUCGUGAAUAGCUAAAUGUGCAUUGUGACAGAUUCUGUAGAAGAUAGUGUGGCUGUCUCUGGCUGUCAAGAUGGACCUUGAUUUACAGUAAAUUGGUGUAAAGAACAGGAGGAGAAACAAUGGAGAUCACACUUGAAUGAAAAGGAAUUACUUCAGGCUUCCAAAUGUGUUGAACAUGAUUUAUAGUUUGUGACCUUGAACACAUUCACUUUUGAAAAUUGGCGGAAUUCAACCUCAACAAUAAAGUAUGGGAAGUUGUUGCCAAGGAGAAAAUUGAACUCAAGUUCCUGUCGAAGUGUCGAUAAGUUCAACUCCCCUGGUAGUCAAAUCAAUGCUGCCAAGCAGAAGGGAUCACGAGGAGCUCCAUACAAUUUUGGAACCUGAUAUGGGCAGUUCCUUUUGCAGAGGCAAUAGCAGAAACAGAAUUCACUGAAAUGAAUGUCUUAUCAAACUGGUAUUAGAGAAUGCAGUCUCUCAUCACUAGUUAACUGUAUAGCUCAACGCCCAGGCGAAUGGAUACUAGCCUAAACAUUGCAAUUCCGCCACGUUAUCGCCCUUUUUCGCCUACUAGAAGAUGAAGACAAUUCCGAUACAGACACUGCCUUAUCUCUCAGACCGAGUCCGCCGCUUAGGCAGCGAAUCGUUGGAGCGAUAGUCAAGUCCCAAUCGUUGAUCCCGGGGCGUGGAACAGCGAUUGAGGCUUUUGUGGAGAGGUUAUGUGUUUCAGGUGGUUAAUGUGAAGCUCAAUUAAAUGGAUGACGCUGGCUCAAGCAGCAACACUCCCAGCUCUCAACAGCUAGGAGCGCCGGAUAGCGGAGGCUGGUUAUCGUCUCUGGCUCUCGACCGUUGUGGAAAGUGUCACCAGUUUAUCUUUUCCACCACGGAAUCGAUUCUUCUGAUUGGGUCGAUCUACUACGCAAAAACGAGAGUCAACGACCGACAACAUCAGUAGCCGGCAGUAACGUUAGAAAACUUCCAGGAACUCCACCCAGACCUGCUGAACCUUUGGCUGUUUCCGAUUGGUAGACAAAUGCAAUCUCCAGCCACUUUGGAGAUUUUUCUCGCGUGUCGGACAUGUCAUGGGAGAAGGAACUACUUUCUCCGAGGCACCUGGUGGAGAAAUUUCGUACUACCUCAUGCAAACUCAUUUCCUCUGUCGUCUGCUAUCUUCAAGCGUGGCCGUGGCUUUCAAGUUUCAACAUGGUGGUACGAUCACUCUCGUUCGUGUUCUUUUGUGGAUAUUAAAAAUGCUCCCUCAUACUGAUGUUUUGGUUUUGGAGUGGUGGUGUCGUGGAGAUCUUGGUGCCUGAUCUUGUCUUGGAUCAUUUUGGUCACAUUUUCUCAGGAGAAACUGGAUCGGGAAAAUGGAGGGCCUAAAGAAAGCAUCAAGGUGAGCCAAGUUGGCAUGACUCCUGAUUGAAGGUCUGCAGACGAGCAGCAAUUUUGUCCCAUUGGAGAUUGGCUGGUUCUGGUUGCCAUGAUUGAAGCCGAAGUCUAGUGGCAGUUUUUGGACGCCGCACAUGGAAAGAAGAAUUCUUCCUUUACCAAUUUCAUGGCACUAUACUCGGAUUUUAGCAUUGCCUACAUUCAAGCAGUGUCUUUAACAUCGGCUGCGUUGAUUGAAUGGGUGUGGGUGGGUGACGACAAUGUUUUGCGGUCGAAUGGCAUCGUCCGUUUGUACCUUAUGUCAGGGAGGUUCCACGACGAGAAAGAGACGCCGAUUAAAUGAGGUGCAGUCCAUUGGCAAUCAGCCAAUAAUCAACGUGGUUCCUGGGUGCCUCCCAUCAAGGUCGAUUGGUGCUCGUACAUUCAGGAUCCGGAUUAUCCUCAUUCGCUCUCAAUUUGAUGUUCGACUCGCUCUAGUGAAACCUCACGUUGGUUUCUCCAAUUUGCAUCUUCAACACGGGUGACGCAAUCAUUUUAUUUGCAGGUGUUGAUUAUGAUGCUGGCUGUCUAAUUACAAAAGGAAAGCUUUGCAUACUUGCAGUCUCACAGUUUGGUUACUCCCUUCCGUGGUUCAAUUGCAAUCGAAUCAUCUUUCGAUUCAAUCGAGGCCUGGCUCGUCCGCAUAUUUUAUCCAUUCUUUUUUAAACCUCUUCCUUCACCCUUCAGUUUACUCGUUGCAUUUGGGCGACCUGGACGCAACCAUUCAACUCUCUUGAACAAGUGAACGUAGCCAGCCGAAAUUCAGACGAUCCCGGAAGAGAUCAUGACAAUCUAGUGCCAAUUGUGGCGAUGUCAGUGCUCUUUUAUCAAGUUCAAAUCGGUUCAAAUGUGUUGUAGAAAAUGCGACUUGUCGUCAUCGUGUAAUAGAAUGUGGUACUCGUUGAGUCCGUCUGAAUGGUUGGUGGUUGCAUUUCGCUGUGGAGCAAGAUUUAAUUUCGGUCAUUUUUCUUGGGUUCGGUGGUGUUUUACCUGGGUGCGUGAAUGGCGAUGUCGACGGCCAAUGGACAGAACAGCCGUAUUCCCUAAUCAUUUGGAGUGACCGACAAACCGUCGAAUUCGAAUGCAGAGACACCAGCAGUGCAUUAUCAUACUAUACUGUACAGAUCAAAAAUGAAACGGAAGCCAAUAAGAGUGCCGCUUGUUCGUAAGGAGGGAAUCGCAACAGAUGGACGAGUGACUGGCAACAUUUUCUUCUUCUCCUCAGUCUCUCGAGGGGGCUCAUUGAAUGGGUCAUUUAGACGAAACGAAGAGAGGGUGAGGUAAAAUUCAAAGUGGAAGGCUUUUCUUUAAUUUUAAUGGGAUAAUACGGUGCUUAUGAGCUGUUGGUGCUCAUUAACCACUCGAUGCGUGAGGGUUUAUGGAAAUACAUUGCUUGCUCUAUUUCUCAUCCUCGCGGUUUUUUCUCAAUUCAGUUUAUUCAUUUAAAUUUAGUUUUCAGUUCAAUUAAAAAGUUUCCUCAAUUCAUCAAGCUUGACGCCACCUAGCGUUCAAGGUUUAAAUUUUUUUUUCUAUUUUCACAUCGUUAUGGUUUUUCUUUUUUUGCGAAAAACAAUAUUGUGGUGUAGAAAGUAUCGAAUGUUUUUUUUUUUAUAUUGAAGAAAUAUUGAUUAUAACGUGACUGAAAGGGUUAAAAACUUAAAAUCAACGAAUCCAUUUAUUUUUUCGUCAUGUGAUGGGGCGCCAUUUGCGUCGUCCAAUAGGAAAUCUUGGAUUAUCAGCUGUGUGUGAACUUAACUGUGAAUUUGAGAGAAGAAAUGGUUUGAGCACAGCAGUUAGUAGUUGUGAAUCUCAGAUAGAAAAUUGAAAUAAUUUUGAUUGCUACUCCAAUUAACAAUUCACGUCUACGUAAGAAAAACCAAAUGUGGACAUUGCAACUGAAUCUGAAAACUUGUGUUCUUCUGUCAUGCCUCUGUUAGCCACCUAUGUUGUUUUGAUUUACUGCAUAAAGAGUUCACUUUGCUCAAGACAGAAGAUGACUUUCCAGUUAUGCUCGAACUUUGAAUCCUCUUACUCCAUUUGCAGUUUAAGCUUCAUAUUUGGCAUUCACAAAUGGCAUUUUCUAUCUAUUGAAAUGCAGACUGCUGAUUUGGCUCUCUUGAGUCAAAGGCCUCGACAGCUGUGAAGAAAAAAAAGUGCACAAAUUUUAAGUAAUGAACAAGCAGGAACCCAGAAUUUUGCUCAUGAAGGAAAACCAGUCUUCUUUGCAAAGGCAAGAAUAACCAGGUAGUGAAACUGAAGGCUUUAAGGCUCAAGUUGCUGAGGGAUCAUUCGAGAAGCGUAAAGCUGUGGGUCCCCACAACUACUUUCCAUAGUAAAAUUGCCAACAUGAUGAACUUUGUAUUGUAAAUUGUAAUUCCAACAACCUUGGAAUAGCUAAGACAUUUUACUUGCAGUCCAUGGACUUGGACACAAGUUCGACUGAUUUCUUGCAGGAAAAACCAGCAAGCAAGGCAACAGCAAAAUCUGAUAAAAUGGAGGUCGUAGAAAAGGGGUUGCAAUCAGUAAAUGUUCAAGAGACACUGCCAACACUAGACUCAACUCCUGCUUGAAUUCAAUUCUGACAUUACGAGUAAAGCAGAAAGUUGACAUGGCCAAUCCAGGACACAAUGAUCAAAUGCAAGAUGCACCAACAGAGAGGAAUAAUCAGUUUUUCAAUCGUUCCAUGCAUCCAGGAAAUCAGCGAAUAACAACAUCUCCCAUUUUCCAAAUGUUAUCCGUCCAUCUGAUGUUCAUCAGUCGUCAAAUUCCCCUAAAAUCAAUCCUGGACGCGCUAUUGUACCUCAAUGCAACAACCAAGUUAUUAAAUGCAGAUUCGAUAUUUACUGCACUCGGUGACUCUAAAGUACUAUCCACGAUUAGAAACACUCGUAAAGUCAUUGUCUUUGCUUGAAUUACUUAGACACAAGCAAGUGGAGUGUGUUGUUGUUAUUUUCGUCUCGCCCCGGGAAAAAUUCUUUGACUGCUGUGAUUAGUUACUUUAAAUCAAGCUACCUUUUGUAAUUUUAUUAAUUGCCACUUCAAAAAUUAGAAAAAAUCGCUAAAAUUUAUCCGGGUCGAGCGGCCAUCUAAUGGCGGAGUUAAUUUUUUAAAAUGCCGAAAUGGGACCAUCAAACUUUUAACAGCAGAAUAAAAUACGCAAUGGGCAAACAAAUCGAAUUCAAGGGAAAAACUGAAAGAAUUUUAAUUAAAAUUCAAUAAAGAGUAGGGAAAGAAAAAGUUUUGGUUGCACAAACUGCCUGGAACAAGAGUCGGGUCGGCGGUCAUCGACUAUUACCAGUACAGUUUGGACUUUUUGGUUGAAUCUUUUUAAAUUGAUAGAUUAAUCGCAUUUUUUACACGACGUGUGUUAAAGUUUUACCCGUAGGCCUUUCCAUAAAUCAUCGAUACAACAAGAUAACGGGAUUCCAUUUUGUGUGGUCAUCAUCCACUGAAAUUUAAAAGCAUUGAUCUACUUUUCCAUUUAUCAUAAGGGGACGAGUGGGUGUAUGGGAUAAGGCGUCAUUUAGGAAAAGGUGCAGUGGUGCACCUGGGGACCAGGGUUCGAACCCCGUGGUGAGUAUUGUUGGUUGGUCAUACACCCGUUGGCGCCACUGUGGCGUCACAUGGACCCCGUGACUUGUUGCUGGAGAGGGAACUCGGGAGGGUUGGCUGGGGGACGGUUUUCGUCGAUAUUGGGAUCGGUCCAAUAUUCCUCAGUCGGCGCAAAAGGCAAAUGAAAUGUGGGAUAAUCGGAAACUGGUGCUGGUCUGACAGUGCAAAGUGCCAUUAUUCGCGCAGUCAUUGGGUUGAUUGCCUUGCUCCGCCGUGUUGAAUUGGGAAUGUGUUGCAUACAAGUGGGCGCUGGCUCUAUACGGGCUAGUCGAAUAAUCUCGGUGAUCAUAUGCGUAUUGCUUCCGCUGGAAUCCAACAAUGUUGUCCUUGUCAUACACCGCCCGGUGUAUCAUGUGGACAACAACUUGUGAACUGCGUGUAUGUGAGGGAUUAUUUGUGCUAGUUUCAGAUCCGUAUAUCCAGUCUAGAGCCGGGCAGUGGCGCCCCCGGCCUAUCCACCCACUAUCAUUGUUAAAAUUGUUAUAUCAAUUAUAGUAUUCUUGGUAUCGACAAGUAGUACACACACACAGCGGCGGAUGUGCUCUCUCUCCUUGCUUAUUACAUAAUAUUGAAACUUUUUUAUUAAUGUCAUUUUUUAUUAAUAAUUAUGUCGGCGUAUAAUUUAAAAAGAAUUGAUAAAUAUUCAGUUCAAGUGAUUUGUUUUUCCCGUUCUCGCUGAACUCGCAGGUUAUUUGAUUUUUGCCCAAUUGAUUAGAAUCAGACGCUUUGCUGGGCAAAUUUAAACUCCUUGUUUUGCCGUUCAUUUCUCGUCAUGUUCGGCAUCAAACUGACUCGUAGAUGGGACACUUUGAUUGGUAUUAGGACUAAAAUAUUUCCUCAAUAUCCAGACCCUCGAUAAUGUACAAUAUCGGCUUCUGCUGCUGGUGAUAUUUUGUUGGAUAGUAGGGAUUGAAUACUGAUGGCACCGGAAUGAUUCCACGAUUGGUAAUUUGGCCGUACAACGUCUUACCGUGAUAGAUAGGGGGGAGGAGCAUAUCCCACACAUUCAGUCAAUACUUAAAAAUUUAAAAAGGCAAGUGAUUUUGUUAUGCAAUCGAUGAUGAUGAAUGCAUCGUCAGCAAGUACGAGAGACGCGAGGAAGGAAGAAACUCGAGGCCUGGCAUAGCAACUCAACAGACUCUGACACGACCGAAA